rnacentral:snRNA from 1 species
GUGCUCGCUUCAGUAGCACAUGUACUAUAAUUGGAACACUACAGAGAACAUUAGCAUGGCCCCUGUGCAAGGAUGACACACAAACUUGUGAAGCAUUCCAUAUUUUU